GUCACAAUAAAAAAUAAAAAGGGUUGGGAUGUAAUGACAGAGCACCCCUGGCUUUAAUCCCCAGUCCUGAAAAAAACUACAAAAGUGUGCCCCCAAGACUAUGGUCCCCAGUCGUUGGCUCUCACACUCAGCCUCCAGCAAUUUGUCUGCUUAAGCCAUCCUGCCAGCCUGUGGCUCCAGCGACCUCUGCUGAAAAUCAGCUGCUCUCCGCUGCAAGGCUGGAUUUGCUUGUCUCUCCAGAGUGUCAGCGACAGUUGGCCUGGGACCUUAGUUCUCUCCUGGGUCUAAGGCAAGUCACUGAUUUUAAGGGCAGUGCUGGCAAGUUCCUGCUGUCUGGUCCCUUGUGUGUAUAUGAACCUCAACACAAGGUCACUGUGUCCCAUGCUGCCCAGACCUAUUGGGAGUGGGGAGCCCCUGGGGAUGGGGAUACCAUGAUGGAGGCACCAGGUGGGUGGGUUCUGGGCUCCAAGCCUCCCUGCCCUGACUCAACGUGGCAGGCCUCCUCUAGGGUCAGGCAGCCAGUGCACCUGGCAUAGAUCUGGAAACUGCCUGGUGGGGACCAUGGGUAUCAAGUCUAGUGCCCCACAGUCGCUUAUGAACACCUGUCCAAUGAAUGAGUCGACAAACCUCCAGAAGAUUCCCGUAGGCUGGGAACGAGAGCUCAGCAGAACACCAGAGAGCAGUCCUCUAACUGUGCCUUCCCGCAAUCUCAUGGUUAUGGCCCAGGCUGUGUCACUUCCACCUCAACACACGCAUCCAGAGCCCUGAGUUGAUGUCCCAUUACCUUGUUCCGACAGCCAGCUGGGAAGGGGAAACAGUCCUGUGUCCUUCCUGGGUCUUGUGCCCUUGGACCCUACUGGCUCUGUCCUUGCCCUGCUCUCCGUGCCCCCACUCAAGGCUGCAUUUCCCAGGUUCUCACUCAGCUGUCCCCUGCUCAGUCCAGCCAAUGAGAAAUACUGCUAGGAGCUGAGGGCUGGAGGAAGCCUUCCC
rnacentral:lncRNA from 1 species